GACGAACGCUGGCGGCGUGCUUAACACAUGCAAGUCGAACGGAAAGGCCCUGCUUUUGUGGGGUGCUCGAGUGGCGAACGGGUGAGUAACACGUGAGUAACCUGCCCUUGACUUUGGGAUAACUUCAGGAAACUGGGGCUAAUACCGGAUAGGAGCUCCUGCUGCAUGGUGGUGGUUGGAAAGUUUCGGCGGUUGGGGAUGGACUCGCGGCUUAUCAGCUUGUUGGUGGGGUAGUGGCUUACCAAGGCUUUGACGGGUAGCCGGCCUGAGAGGGUGACCGGCCACAUGGGGACUGAGAGACGGCCCAGACUGCUACGGGAGGCAGCAGUGGGGAAUAUUGCACAAUGGGCGGAAGACUGAUGCAGAAACGCCGCGUGCGGGAUGACGGCCUUCGGGUUGUAAACCGCUUUCGACUGUGACGAAGCGUGAGUGACGGUAAUGGGUAAAGAAGCACCGGCUAACUACGUG
rnacentral:rRNA from 1 species